CACUUUACUAAAACCCAAGGCGUGUGACCUAUUUUUCUCCAACACUGACCGAUUCUUUCUCUUCUUCUUCGCGGCGACCUCUGUUUUCCCUGAUCGGUCCCUCGAGUGCUAGGUAGAAGGAGAAGCUCCCAGAGAGGUCACCGCAAAACCCUACUUCCAUCCCGCACUUCCUCUAUCAUAUUUACUGGUUAAAAUCUAGCUUGGAUCUUCCAUAAUCUGCGCCACUAAGCUUCCCUUAUCCUCUCUCCACUUCAAUGUCAAAGUCCCAUGGUUUUCGGCAAAGUUCCAGACGAACUGGUAGUUUCCAAGAAAUUGGGGCUUCUCUUUGAGAGAGAGAGAGAGAGAGUCCUCCUCAUCAUCGACCACCAUGGCGGACAAGCCAUAGGCGGUGCGUGCCCUCUACUGUGGUGUUUGCGACAUUUCUGUGGAGUACUGCGAGUUUGGCCCUAACUUAGAGAAGUGCAAGCCUUGGCUCCGUACCCACGCUCCCGAUAUGUACCCUGAUCCUCAAAGAUGCAGACAAAGCCGCCUAGUAGAUGAAGUCGGUGGCGAUUUUGGGCUCCACUGACGCAAGGGGAGAUGCUGGUGGGCUCCUUUAGGUAGGUAGUGCUUCAACAUCUAAGCAAGAAGAAGUAAAGCGCCUUACUGGUGGUAAGAUAAAGAAGAAGGUGUAAAACUGAGUGAUGCAUCAGAGAAGCUUGAUAAAAAAGUUUGCUAUAGGAGCUUAUGUUGUCAAGGGACCAACCGAGAAAGAAAGAUUGAUGUGCAAGGAAAUAUUGCCUAUGAUAUUGUGGAAUUCAUUACCAAGACUUGAGGUCUACAUUUCUGGACGACCAUUAGAUUUGCUAGAAGUUCAAUUACUAAUUUAGCACGAGAUUAUUUAGGAUAAAAGUUGUGUGAUUUGAAGUAGAAAGUUAAAGAGCUUGCUAAUUUAGCACGAGAUUUGCUGGACUAUGGUUUCUAGUAUAUUUUAACCAGAUAGUAAGAUUUUGUUGCAUAAGAGGGUGUUCCAAUUGUUUAUUUUCAUUAGUUUUUUAUGAUUGGUUAAAUGAUGCACAUAUUGAGUUUUGUAUUUAUUGUUAAAAUGUAAAGUUAUGAUACUUGAAGUGA